rnacentral:lncRNA from 1 species
GUGUGCCGCUGGGUGGCCCUGCGAGCCGCCGCUCUCCGCCUCUCUAGGCUCAGCUUCCAUCACCGCGUGGCGGAGCCCGUGUCCGGGCCAGUGCUGACUUUGAGACUUUUCUGAUGGUGACUCAUGAUAUGCAUGGAAGCAUAAGAAAUGCUCACACGAAACAUUCAGAAAACUAAACUUACCCUUACGGUAUAUGAUGCUGUGAUGGUUAACACUGAGUGUCAACUUGAUUGGAUUGAAGGAUGUGAAGUAUUUUUCCUGGGUGCGUCUGUGAGGGUGUUGCCAAAGGAGAUUAACAUUUGAGUCAGUGGACUGGGGCAGGCAGACCCACCCUCAAUGUGGGUGGGCACCGUCUAAUCAGCAGCCAACAUGGCUAGAAUAAAACAGGCAGAAGAACAUGGAAGGACUUGACUUGCUGAGUCUUCUGGCCUUCAUCUUUCUUCCAUGCUGGAUGCUUCCUGCCCUCGAACAUGAGACUCCAAGUUCUUCAGCUUUUGGACACUUGGACUUACACCAGUAGUUUGCCAGGGGCUUUUGGGCCUUUGGACACAGCCUGAAGUCUGCAAUGUCGGCUUCCCUACUUUUGAGGUUUCGGGACUCGGACUGAUCCACCACUGGCUUCCUUGCUCCUCAACUUGCAGACGACCUAUUGUGGGACUUUACCUUGUGAUCCUGUGAGUCGAUUCUCCUUAAUAAACACCCUUUCAUAUAUACGUA